CUGUUCUUAAUUUGAGACUUGUGAAUAUUAGCUUGGAUGCUGUGUCUACUGAUCUUCAUAGGUAUUUCCAGACCACUGUACAGUCAGUAGAUAUGGAACCAAAGUGGUCAGGAACAUUCUUUGCAGCAAUUCUUAGAAGACAUCACGCAGAGUAUGAUGACACAGCACUGCAUGCUGAAAGAUGUCCUUGUCCUAAGCUCCUCCACUUCAAACGUUAAACAAGUCAGAUAUUCAUCCAUUCUGCUGGAGCCAGUUGGUUUGAACAUAGAUGGGGAGACACUAAUGAGAAUUGGCGCU